rnacentral:rRNA from 1 species
GACGAACGCUGGCGGCGUGCUUAACACAUGCAAGUCGAACGGAAAGGCCCUGCGUUUGUGGGGUGCUCGAGUGGCGAACGGGUGAGUAACACGCAAGUAACCUGCCCUUGACUUUGGGAUAACUUCAGGAAACUGGGGCUAAUACCGGAGAGGAGAUCCUGCUGCACGGUGGGGGUUGGAAAGUUUCGGCGGUUGGGGAUGGUCUCGCGGCUUAGGGGCUUGUUGGUGGGGUAGGGGCGGACCCAGGCGUUGACGGGGAGCCGGCCUGAGAGGGUGAUCGGCGACACGGGAACUGGGACACGGACCAGACGCCUACGGGAGGCAGCAGUAGGGAAUCUUCCGCAAUGGGGGAAAGCCUGACGGAGCGACGCCGCGUGAGGGAUGAAGGUCUUCGGAGCGUAAAACUCGGUUAUUAGGGAAGAACAAAUGUGUAAGUAACUAUGCACGGCUUGACGGUACCUAAUCAGAAAGCCACGGCUAACUACGUG